rnacentral:rRNA from 1 species
UACGUAGGGUGCGAGCGUUAAUCGGAAUUACUGGGCGUAAAGCGUACGCAGGCGGCUAUGCAAGACAGGUGUGAAAUCCCCGGGCUUAACCUGGGAACUGCAUUUGUGACUGCAUAGCUAGAGUCUGUCAGAGGGGGGUGGAAUUCCACGUGUAGCAGUGAAAUGCGUAGAGAUGUGGAGGAACACCGAUGGCGAAGGCAGCCCCUGGGACCUGACUGACGCUCAUGUACGAAAGCGUGGGGAGCAAACAGG